GUCUUCACAUCCAUUUGAUGAAUCACUAAAUUAUGCACAGAUGCUAAAGCUAUCAAGGUCCUUAUGGUGGUAAUCCUAGAAACAGAUUGAAACUCAUCAUUUAUAGCCUCUUUCCAGAAUGGUGCAUCCACAGACAUAACGGCUUCCUUAUAAGUUGUGGGAUCUCCUUCUACUAGAAAGGAACAUGUCGCACAUCCUUGAGAGUUAGAGUCUUCCCAGAUGUCAUCUUCAAUUCCACUUCUCCGAUUCCACGUACUUGUGCGACGGUGUCAUUUCCUAGG